AGCAGCCGCCGCGGUAAUACGUAGGUGGCAAGCGUUGUCCGGAAUUAUUGGGCGUAAAGGGCUCGCAGGCGGUUUCUUAAGUCUGAUGUGAAAGCCCCCGGCUCAACCGGGGAGGGUCAUUGGAAACUGGGAAACUUGAGUGCAGAAGAGGAGAGUGGAAUUCCACGUGUAGCGGUGAAAUGCGUAGAGAUGUGGAGGAACACCAGUGGCGAAGGCGACUCUCUGGUCUGUAACUGACGCUGAGGAGCGAAAGCGUGGGGAGCGAACAGGAUUAGAGACCCCAGUAGUCCCUGUCUCUUAUAC
rnacentral:rRNA from 1 species